UACGUAGGGUGCAAGCGUUACUCGGAAUUACUGGGCGUAAAGCGUGCGUAGGCGGUUUGUUAAGUCUGUCGUGAAAGCCCCGGGCUCAACCUGGGAAUGGCGAUGGAUACUGGCGAGCUAGGGUACGGUAGAGGAGAGUGGAAUUCCCGGUGUAGCAGUGAAAUGCGUAGAGAUCGGGAGGAACAUCAGUUGCGAAGGCGGCUCUCUGGACCAGUACUGACGCUGAGGCACGAAAGCGUGGGGAGCAAACAGG
rnacentral:rRNA from 1 species